GAGAUGAAUGUGAAAGAAAAAUAGAAAAGAAGUACAAAAAGAAGUGAUAGCCUUGAAUUCAAAGAAUUGCAAAACUUUGUUUGAUGAUUGAAAAAGUUCUCUAGUCCACUAUAGUUCAAAGAAAAAAGGGGUUUGGAUUAUGAUAUUUUUGACCUUAGGGGGAUCUAACUCCAAGUUUUUCUACUACUUAUCCCAAAAUGUCACCAUCCACCCUAGCCAAGCCACGUUAUAACCCUAAAAGUCCUCUAAUGUGUGUGCACAAAGUGAACCGAAUGAAUUCUUAGACUACUUGCAAAAUUAUUGUUGACUUGCAUUGAUGUGUUGAUUUGAG
rnacentral:lncRNA from 1 species